rnacentral:rRNA from 1 species
AGGACUAACGCUGGCGGCGUGCCUAACACAUGCAAGUCGAGCGGGGUAGCAAUACCCAGCGGCAGACGGGUGAGUAACGCGUGGUCAACCUUCCGUUGAAUGGGGGAUAACUAGCCGAAAGGUUAGCUAAUACCGCAUACGAUCUUUUGAAGGCAUCUUUAAAAGAUGAAAGGAGCAAUUCGUUCAACGACGGGACCGCGUCCCAUUAGCUAGAUGGUGGGGUAAUGGCCUACCAUGGCAACGAUGGGUAGCUGGUUUGAGAGAGCGACCAGCCACACUGGGACUGAGAAACGGCCCAGACUCCUACGGGAGGCAGCAGUGAGGAAUUUUCCGCAAUGGGCGAAAGCCUGACGGAGCGACGCCGCGUGUGGGAAGAAGGCCUUCGGGUCGUAAACCACUGGUCGAAGGGGACGAUAAUGACGGUACCCUUGGAGGAAGCCCCGGCUAACUACGUGCCAGCAGCCGC